GACGAACCGAGCGAACGUUGUUCGGAAUUACUGGGCGUAAAGGGCGCGUAGGCGGCUCGCUAAGUCGGAUGUGAAAACUCUGGGCUCAACCCAGAGCCUGCAUUCGAAACUGACGAGCUCGAGUUCUGGAGGGGAAAGCGGAAUUCCUGGUGAUGAGCGGUGAAAUGACUGUAGAUAUCAGGAGGAACACCGGUGGCGAAGGCGGCUUUCUGGACAGAAACUGACGCUGAUGCGCGAAAGCUAGGGGAGCAAACAGG
rnacentral:rRNA from 1 species